rnacentral:rRNA from 1 species
AUUGAACGCUAGCGGCAUGCUUUACACAUGCAAGUCGAACGAGUGGCGGACGGGUGAGUAAUAUAUCGGAACGUGUCCGGUAGCGGGGGAUAACUACUCGAAAGAGUGGCUAAUAGCGUAUACUAUUGGAGCGCCCGAUAUCGGAUUAGCUAGUUGGGGGGGUAAAGGCUCAACAGGGCCACGACCUGUAGCGGGUUUGAGAGGACGACCAGCCACACUGGAACUGAGACACGGCCCAGACUCCUACGGGAGGCAGCAGUGGGGAAUUUUGGACAAUGGGGGAAACCCUGAUCCAGCCAUGCCGCGUGUAUGAGAAGGCCUUCGGGUUGUAAAGUACUUUUGGCAGAGAAGCGGUAUCUGCAGAAGAAGCACCGGCUAACUCCGUGCCAGCAGCCGCGGUAAUAC